GAUACGGGAGGCAGCAGUGAGGAAUAUUGGUCAAUGGCCGGAAGGCUGAACCAGCCAAGCCGCUUGAGGUCUUCCUUCUCCUCUCUUCUCCUCCCUCUUUUUCCUUUUUCCCCAAUGCCUGACGGGUCCGGUUCUGAGGGUACCCGGAGAAAAAGCAUCGGCUAACUCCGUGCCAGCCGCCGCGGUAAUACGGCGUAUUCGCUCGUUAUCCGGAUUCAUUGGGUUUAAAGGGUGCGCAGGCGGGCCUUUAAGCCGGCGGUGAAAUCGCGGGGCUCAACCCCGCCGAGCCGGCGGAAAUGGGGGCAUUGAGUGCGGCGGAGGCAUGCGGAAUGCGCGGUGUAGCGGUGAAAUGCAUAGAUAUCGCGAAGAACCCCGAUUGCGAAGGCAGCGUGCCGUGCCGCCACUGACGCUGAGGCACGAAAGAGAGGGGAGCGAACAGGAGGAGAGAAAAGGGGAGGC
rnacentral:rRNA from 1 species